rnacentral:lncRNA from 1 species
AUGCACAAAAUGAGCACUUUUGAUCUAUGUUAACCUAUCAGGAUAUAUCAAAACAUACAACCACUCUACCUGUCAGAGCAGCAAACACAUAACCUGUCACAUAAUAAACCUGGACAAUAUAUAGCAAUACAUUAUCACAGGCACACAACUGAUCUGUAUAAAACCUGGUUCCCAAUCCAUCCAUGACCAACCCAUAUCCACAACAGGAUCUAUGACUGUAACUAUACACUAUGUACAACAGAAGGUUUAUAUUACACCAAAAUGUAUAAACCUCUAUUUACAUUAUACUAUGGAGCGGUACAACUAGCAUGCAAUCUCUAACCCUGCUCCUCUCUAAACGACAUCUGCCCUGCAACAAAAAUAUCAAACUGAAGAGUGAGUAUAUAAAUACUCAAUGAGUGGAGUAGAGAGUAAUAUGCACAUGAGACAAGAUAUAAUCAUAGCUCGAGGUGAAAUCUCAAGAGCAUAUGAGCAGUCAUCGAUAACAGGGUGCACAAAACUCAACAUAAGAAAUAUGGAGUAAAUCAUUACAGUAUCACCACAAUCACAAUCAACUCAUCUGGAGCAUAUAUAGAAUAAUCAAAUAAACAUGAAUGAUACAUCAUGAAUAUGCUCAACAGAUUAUAACACUGAAAUAUGCAAAUCAGGGUGUCAAUAUGCGAAGUCAUCACUAGACAACUGUCGGGAGGUGGGUCUUAUGCCCCAGGCGAACCACAACAACUUCCUACUGUCACAUGCAUAUGCAGGAUAAGACACCAUACUGAUAAUGUAAAUGCUGGUCAGUAUCUAGAACAGAAAUUCAUAGAAAUCCGUGAGAAUCACCUCACAACUGAAUACUAUCGGCACCUCGCGGGAACGCUACAUCCGCGGAAAGCCAUACUGCACCUUGCGGGGUCUUACUAUGCCCGGCGGCAAGCAGAAUAUAAGUCGUAGGACCGGCCGAUCCUACGCCUAGGGCCGUGUCCUCCCUAGGAAGGGACUGGGCUCCGCCCACCCAAAAGGCUACUAUGUGCACACAGACCGAUGUCUAACCCCAUCGACUAUAGGUGUCCUGUAGAUACUGCCAAGCCAUGUAUAAAUGACAUAAUGCACCUUCCCAAUGCUCAACUAUAAAGGAGUAUAAUCAAGACUACCACUCACUCGACCACAACCCAAUCAUAAACUAACAUCAUGGUUGGGAGUGAGGAGUCAAGGGAGUGUAAUGCAACUCAAUAUACCACUGAAAAGGGCUCUACAAGUCUUUGAAAUAGAGAAAAUAAAAUCAAUUUACAAAAAAAGUCAUUUCACAACUCGGAACCAAUUUAACUACUCUUUUACCCCUUGUAAUUCCUCUCAAUGUUCCCUCAAAUGCAUGUACAAAAUAAUCAAGCAUGGAGAAACAAGAUUAUAGAGGAAUCUACUACAAUAUCAAUCAAUAUGCUCAAGUGGAAUCAAUUCACACUUGGAGGCAUUCAUGAAAAUGAAUUAAGAAUGCUCAUGGUGCAAAGUACAUGAUUCCCACUCACCUGUCAAUCUGGCACAGCCCUGAUACGCCUCCAAAAAUCUACAGUA